GGGUUGUGAGGUUAAGCGACUAAGCGUACACGGUGGAUGCCCUGGCAGUCAGAGGCGAUGAAGGACGUGCUAAUCUGCGAUAAGCGUCGGUAAGGUGAUAUGAACCGUUAUAACCGGCGAUUUCCGAAUGGGGAAACCCAGUGUGUUUCGACACACUAUCAUUAACUGAAUCCAUAGGUUAAUGAGGCGAACCGGGGGAACUGAAACAUCUAAGUACCCCGAGGAAAAGAAAUCAACCGAGAUUCCCCCAGUAGCGGCGAGCGAACGGGGAGCAGCCCAGAGCCUGAAUCAGUGUGUGUGUUAGUGGAAGCGUCUGGAAAGGCGCGCGAUACAGGGUGACAGCCCCGUACACAAAAAUGCACAUACUGUGAGCUCGAUGAGUAGGGCGGGACACGUGGUAUCCUGUCUGAAUAUGGGGGACCAUCCUCCAAGGCUAAAUACUCCUGACUGACCGAUAGUGAACCAGUACCGUGAGGGAAAGGCGAAAAGAACCCCGGCGAGGGGAGUGAAAAAGAACCUGAAACCGUGUACGUACAAGCAGUGGGAGCCUCUUUUAUGGGGUGACUGCGUACCUUUUGUAUAAUGGGUCAGCGACUUAUAUUCUGUAGCAAGGUUAACCGAAUAGGGGAGCCGAAGGGAAACCGAGUCUUAACUGGGCGUUAAGUUGCAGGGUAUAGACCCGAAACCCGGUGAUCUAGCCAUGGGCAGGUUGAAGGUUGGGUAACACUAACUGGAGGACCGAACCGACUAAUGUUGAAAAAUUAGCGGAUGACUUGUGGCUGGGGGUGAAAGGCCAAUCAAACCGGGAAAUAGCUGGUUCUCCCCGAAAGCUAUUUAGGUAGCGCCUCGUGAAUUCAUCUCCGGGGGUAGAGCACUGUUUCGGCAAGGGGGUCAUCCCGACUUACCAACCCGAUGCAAACUGCGAAUACCGGAGAAUGUUAUCACGGGAGACACACGGCGGGUGCUAACGUCCGUCGUGAAGAGGGAAACAACCCAGACCGCCAGCUAAGGUCCCAAAGUCAUGGUUAAGUGGGAAACGAUGUGGGAAGGCCCAGACAGCCGGGAUGUUGGCUUAGAAGCAGCCAUCAUUUAAAGAAAGCGUAAUAGCUCACUGGUCGAGUCGGCCUGCGCGGAAGAUGUAACGGGGCUAAACCAUGCACCGAAGCUGCGGCAGCGACACUGUGUGUUGUUGGGUAGGGGAGCGUUCUGUAAGCCUGUGAAGGUGUACUGUGAGGUAUGCUGGAGGUAUCAGAAGUGCGAAUGCUGACAUAAGUAACGAUAAAGCGGGUGAAAAGCCCGCUCGCCGGAAGACCAAGGGUUCCUGUCCAACGUUAAUCGGGGCAGGGUGAGUCGACCCCUAAGGCGAGGCCGAAAGGCGUAGUCGAUGGGAAACAGGUUAAUAUUCCUGUACUUGGUGUUACUGCGAAGGGGGGACGGAGAAGGCUAUGUUGGCCGGGCGACGGUUGUCCCGGUUUAAGCGUGUAGGCUGGUUUUCCGGGCAAAUCCGGAAAAUCAAGGCUGAGGCGUGAUGACGAGGCACUACGGUGCUGAAGCAACAAAUGCCCUGCUUCCGGGAAAAGCCUCUAAGCAUCAGGUAACAUCAAAUCGUACCCCAAACCGACACAGGUGGUCAGGUAGAGAAUACCAAGGCGCUUGAGAGAACUCGGGUGAAGGAACUAGGCAAAAUGGUGCCGUAACUUCGGGAGAAGGCACGCUGAUAUGUAGGUGAAGUCCCUCGCGGAUGGAGCUGAAAUCAGUCGAAGAUACCAGCUGGCUGCAACUGUUUAUUAAAAACACAGCACUGUGCAAACACGAAAGUGGACGUAUACGGUGUGACGCCUGCCCGGUGCCGGAAGGUUAAUUGAUGGGGUUAGCGCAAGCGAAGCUCUUGAUCGAAGCCCCGGUAAACGGCGGCCGUAACUAUAACGGUCCUAAGGUAGCGAAAUUCCUUGUCGGGUAAGUUCCGACCUGCACGAAUGGCGUAAUGAUGGCGGGCUGUCUCCACCCGAGACUCAGUGAAAUUGAACUCGCUGUGAAGAUGCAGUGUACCCGCGGCAAGACGGAAAGACCCCGUGAACCUUUACUAUAGCUUGACACUGAACAUUGAGCCUUGAUGUGUAGGAUAGGUGGGAGGCUUUGAAGUGUGGACGCCAGUCUGCAUGGAGCCGACCUUGAAAUACCACCCUUUAAUGUUUGAUGUUCUAACGUUGACCCGUAAUCCGGGUUGCGGACAGUGUCUGGUGGGUAGUUUGACUGGGGCGGUCUCCUCCUAAAGAGUAACGGAGGAGCACGAAGGUUGGCUAAUCCUGGUCGGACAUCAGGAGGUUAGUGCAAUGGCAUAAGCCAGCUUGACUGCGAGCGUGACGGCGCGAGCAGGUGCGAAAGCAGGUCAUAGUGAUCCGGUGGUUCUGAAUGGAAGGGCCAUCGCUCAACGGAUAAAAGGUACUCCGGGGAUAACAGGCUGAUACCGCCCAAGAGUUCAUAUCGACGGCGGUGUUUGGCACCUCGAUGUCGGCUCAUCACAUCCUGGGGCUGAAGUAGGUCCCAAGGGUAUGGCUGUUCGCCAUUUAAAGUGGUACGCGAGCUGGGUUUAGAACGUCGUGAGACAGUUCGGUCCCUAUCUGCCGUGGGCGCUGGAGAACUGAGGGGGGGCUGCUCCUAGUACGAGAGGACCGGAGUGGACGCAUCACUGGUGUUCGGGUUGUCAUGCCAAUGGCACUGCCCGGUAGCUAAAUGCGGAAGAGAUAAGUGCUGAAAGCAUCUAAGCACGAAACUUGCCCCGAGAUGAGUUCUCCCUGACUCCUUGAGAGUCCUGAAGGAACGUUGAAGACGACGACGUUGAUAGGCCGGGUGUGUAAGCGCAGCGAUGCGUUGAGCUAACCGGUACUAAUGAACCGUGAGGCUUAACCUUACAACGCCGAAGGUGUUU
rnacentral:rRNA from 1 species